rnacentral:rRNA from 1 species
ACAUGCAUAUAGCAUAGCGUUAAUGCAAUGGAUCCCAUUAGAAAUCUAUAGUUAAGCAUGCUCAAGCUAGAGUAGUAUUGGGAUGGGUGACCACCUGGGAAGUCUUAGUGUUUUAAAUGUC